AGAUUUGGGAACGAAACAGCCAUUUUCUUUUUCAUAUUUGAGAAGUAAAACACUAAUUUCUCCCCUCUUUUUUGCUUUGUUCUUGGUUGUGGCUGCUUUUUGAAGGUUGGAGGCUCUGAGGUGCCUACUUCAUUUGUUAGUGUAGAAGCAGGCAAGGUAUGUAUUUGAAAUAGUGAAACUUGUUUAAAAUCGUGUAACUGCGAGGAAAAAUGUAAAAUCUUACCUACAAGUUUGAUGUCUGUGUUAUCAACCAACCAUUGUGCCCCAUCUUUCUUAAAUCCUGUGAAGUCUGAAGUAAACUCUGUUUUAUGCAUCAGCCUCCUGAAAAUGAAAACAUAUCAACAAUUUUAAGCCA